UACGUAGGUGGCAAGCGUUGUCCGGAAUUACUGGGUGUAAAGGGAGCGCAGGCGGGAAGCCAAGUCAGCUGUGAAAACUACGGGCUUAACUUGUAGACUGCAGUUGAAACUGGUUUUCUUGAGUGAAGUAGAGGUUGGCGGAAUUCCGAGUGUAGCGGUGAGAUGCGUAGAUAUUCGGAGGAACACCGGUGGCGAAGGCGGCCAACUGGGCUUUAACUGACGCUGAGGCUCGAAAGUGUGGGGAGCAAACAGG
rnacentral:rRNA from 1 species